GAAAACCGGACCGUUUGUGUGCACAGGUCUGCGACCCGGGACCCUGGCUGGGAACGGGGUCCCUCUGGAGCAUGGCUGUCGGGGAUCUGUCCACAGAAAAGCCAGACGUCCCUGUAACCGGGUCCACAAGGCCUGGAGCUUCGCGCUGGGACCCGGCUGGGGGAUGCGCGCAACCAGACCAAGCAACGAGGAACAGGUGACCGAGCCAUCAAGCGGCGGCUGCAUCACGGACCGUCCUGCGAGCACCCACUGUGUCCAGGGGGCAGAAGUGAGGUCCCCCCGGAUGGCCCCAGACCCUCUUGGCAGCGACUCCGUUCAGAACGGACACUGUCUCUGGGGGUCUGGAGUCCCCGAUGCUGGGCUGUCGGGACCCCGGUCGGAGUAGGACCUUGUGAGGGAGCACGUGAAGGGGGUCCUACGUGGAAACAGGGUCUUUGCAGAUGUAAGCAGGUGAAGGAUCUGACAUGACCUCGUUCUGGAUGAGGCAGCCAUAAAUCCAGGGACAGGCGUCCUUGUAAGAGACAGAGGAGGAGACGCAGACUCAGAAGCCACGUGAAGACGGAGGCAGAGACGGGAGGGUCGCGGCCACAAUCCAGGGACGCCUAGAGCCCCGGAAGCUGGAAGAGGCAGGAAGGACCCUCCCCUGGAGCCUCUGGAGGGAGCACAGGCC